AUGGGAGGUGAUUGUGUUGUCAUAUCGGUCUUACUAUGCUUUUUGUGUAUAACUUUCCACCUCACCUUUGUUGAAUCGAUAGACGUAGAUGUCAAUCUCCAGACGAAUGAGAAGAACACCACUCUUUUAAGACCUAAACCUUUCCAUUUUCCUUGGAGAGCUAAUAUCAUGGAUGAAGGAAGCGGCAUUAUUUCUCAUUAUGCAAUGUGGCACACAGAGCUAGGACAAUUCUACGGCCUUCGAUCUGACAUGAGUAUAUGGGCUUCGCCAAAUCAAGAAACUUCUCAAGAAUCUGGAGCAUCCUUACAGAUCUAUUGUCAAGAUGGAGAAAACUACAACUUAAUUCAAGUUGGAAUUCAUAUUUCCCCCUCUUUGUACCAUAACAGAGAUAUUCGCUUCUUUACAUAUUGGACCAUAAGUGACUUGAAAUCAAAGGGGUGCUACAACUUGCAGUGCCCAGGAUUUGUUUCUGCAAGUCGAGCUAAUCUGGUGCCUGGACAAGCCAUUGCUCCUCCAUCAAUUUAUGGCGAACAAGACCACUACGUUAGGCUUAGCCUCAACAAGGAUCCAAAUUUCGGAGAUUGGGUGGUGUACCGUCACGAUUUACAAAAACCAUCAUUCUUGGGACAUUUUCCAAAUAAGCUUUGCCCCGGAACACGACGUAUACAAGCCUUGACUGGAUUCGUGAAUUACUUCAAGAAUGCACAUGGUCCUCCAAUGGGUAGCGGCCACUUCCCGGAUUAUGACGAUAAGAAAUCUGCGUACUUCAAGCACAUUCAGAAUUACAAUCCAAAUGGUCAUUCUUCCAACCUCUUUGGCAUUCCCAUGGUCAAGUUCAUUGAUAGGCUAGAUUGUUACAGAGCAAAUAAUUUAUUUCUCGAAUAUAAGAGGGGUUAUAUGUUCAAUUAUGGUGGACCAAGUGGUUGUGUUGGUUGA
rnacentral:rRNA from 1 species